GAUGAACGCUGGCGGCGUGCUUAACACAUGCAAGUCGAACGGAAAGGCCCUGCUUUUGUGGGGUGCUCGAGUGGCGAACGGGUGAGUAACACGUGAGUAACCUGCCCUUGUCUUUGGGAUAACUUCAGGAAACUGGGGCUCAUAUCGGAUAGGAGCUCCUGCUGCAUGGUGGGGGUUGGAAAGUUUCGGCGGUUGGGGCUGGACUCGCGGCUUAUCCGCUUGUUGGUGGGGUAGUUGCUUACCAAGGCUUUGACGGGUAGGCGGCAUGAGAGGGUGACCGGCGUCAAUGGGACUAAGAGACGGCGCAGACGGCAAUGGGAGGCAACGGUGGAAAGUCUGACGCAGUGGGCGGGAGUGUGUGGCGAAGGCGCCGGGUGCGGGAUGCCGGCCUUCGGGUUGUAAACAGAUUUCGCCUGAGACGAAGCGUGAGUGACGGUAAUGGGUAAAGAAGCAACGGCUAACUACGUG
rnacentral:rRNA from 1 species